AUUCUCAAGUUUAAGGCCUUGCAAACCCACAAAUCUUCAUUUGUUCCUCUCCAUAGCCAAAAUGGAUGCCAAGACUUCCAUCAAGGUUUUCAUCAUUCGAAUGCUUAUUAUCUUUUUGUUUCUCUCAUCUACGUACACGAUGGUGGUUGCCGAACCCAACAAUGUCGUCCCACGAGCGAAGAAAAACAGUAUCUUGCGAGGAAAUAUUGUCCAAAUGAAAAUUGUUGGGAAACCCGGGCGAAAACCCUCCCCCCCUGACAACACAGGUUGUCGAAUCUGCAACAAAAGUUGAUCUGUAUCAUUCAAUCGAAUGAAGAAAAUAAAAUAUAAGAUGUAAAUAAUGGAAAUCAAUAAGCUUGUCCAAGAGUUUCCCGUGUUUUGGUUCAUAUUGACACAUGGAAAGCUUGUAAUAAUUAUUACGUAAUGUGAGACUUAGAUAAAGUUAUUCAGUAAUAAAAAGUUUAGUGCAUAACAAAAGGGUUAUAAAUAUUUGAGAUUAAGAUUUGACUACAUUUCCUCGCU